GGAACCCUGAUGCAGCGACGCCGCGUGAGUGAAGAAGUAUUUCGGUAUGUAAAGCUCUAUCAGCAGGGAAGAAGAUGACGGUACCUGAGUAAGAAGCCCCGGCUAACUACGUGCCAGCAGCCGCGGUAAUACGUAGGGGGCAAGCGUUAUCCGGAUUUACUGGGUGUAAAGUGAGCGCAGACGGCAGCGUAAGUCUGAAGUGAAAGCCCGCGGCUUAACCGCGGGACUGCUUUGGAAACUACGCGGCUUGAGUGUCGGAGGGGCAGGCGGAAUUCCUGGUGUAGCGGUGAAAUGCGUAGAUAUCAGGAAGAACACCGGUGGCGAAGGCGGCCUGCUGGACGACAACUGACGUUGAGGCUCGAAAGCGUGGGGAGCGAACAGGAUUAGAUACCCUGGUAGUCCACGCGGUAAACGAUGAAUACCAGGUGUCGGCGCCCAAGGGGCGUCGGUGCCGUCGCAAACGCAGUAAGUAUUCCACCUGGGGAGUACGUUCGCAGAAUGAAACUCAAAGGAAUUGACGGGGACCCGCACAAGCAGUGAGCAUGUGGUUUAAUUCGAAGCAACGCGAGAACCU
rnacentral:rRNA from 1 species